AGUCCAUAAUAAGGGCACUAUCUAAGAAGUCCCUUGAAUCUAUCCUAGGCUUUAUAUAGAGAUUCUCUAUCCUUUUGUAUAAAGCUUGCAAUAAGAUUUCUCACAUA